rnacentral:antisense_RNA from 1 species
CUUGACGGAACCGAGCCACAGCGGCUCGCGCCCGUCCGGACCCUCCGGCCGCGUCUGCCCGUAGGUGGCGAGGAGCGCCUGGGCCUC